rnacentral:rRNA from 1 species
AUGGAUGAUAUUGUUGAUGCAUUGGUUCUUAAGCUCCAGUCAAAGAUAUGCUAUCAUAGGGAUGCCAAUGUCGACUACCUGGAAAUCAAGACAAUGGUUGAUAAACUCGUAGAAGCGAACAAAAAGCUCAAGGAUGAGAAAGUGGACUUCCAGGAUGUAAUUAAUAUGGUCAUGGAAGAAAAGGAAAAUUUACAGCAUGACUAUCAAGUAAUCAAGGAGCAGAUGACAAAAAGGGAGGAGCAACUUGAAACUGUAAAAAAGGAACUUGAAGAAGCAAAACAUGAACAUGUGGCAGCAAAUAAGGAGCUUGAGGAAGAAAAACAUGGCCAUGUGGCAACAAAGAAGGACCUUGCGGCGACAGAACAACAACUUGCUCAAAGGAGCGAAGAGCUGGAGGAUUUAAGGAAGAAGCUUCAAGAGAGUGAACCUGUACCUUCCACAAGGGUAACAAGAUCUGCACAUAAGCGGCAAAUGGUGCUCCAUGGGUCGUUGAGCAACGAUGCGGCUGGACAUCGCCAAAAGAAACAUAGGGCCUAUCAGCAUGCAACCCAAGAUGUGACUUGGAGGUGA